GCGUAGCGCGUGCCGGCAGCAGCGGUAAGGCGAGUCCGGCGAACUGUGUUCGGAAUUACUGGGCGUAAAGCGUGCGUAGGUGGUUCAGAGGGUUGGGAGUGAAAUCCCACGGCCUAACCGUGGAAUUGCUCUCAAAACCGCUGGACUUGAGGAGGUUAGAGGCGAGCGGAACUACGGGUGGAGCGGUGAAAUGCGUUGAUAUCCGUAGGAACACCGGUGGCGAAGGCGGCUCGCUGGGGCCUUUCUGACACUGAGGCACGAAAGCUAGGGUAGCGAACGGGAUUAGAUACCCUAGUAGUC
rnacentral:rRNA from 1 species